GAUGAAGAACGUAGCGAAAUGCGAUACGUAAUGUGAAUUGCAAAUUCAGUGAAUCAUCGAGUCUUUGAACGCACAUUGCGCCCCCUGGUAUUCCGGGGGGCAUGCCUGUCCGAGCGUCAUUGCUGCCCUCAAGCACGGCUUGUGUGUUGGGCCCCGUCCUCCGAUCCCGGGGGACGGGCCCGAAAGGCAGCGGCGGCACCGCGUCCGGUCCUCGAGCGUAUGGGGCUUUGUCACCCGCUCUGUAGGCCCGGCCGGCGCUUGCCGAUCAACCCAAAUUUUUAUCCAGUUUGACCUCGGAUCAGGUAGGGAUACCCGCUGAACUUAAGCAUAUCAAUAAGCGGAGGA
rnacentral:misc_RNA from 1 species